rnacentral:rRNA from 1 species
AGUGAACGCUGGCGGUAGGCCUAACACAUGCAAGUCGAACGGCAGCACAGGAGAGCUUGCUCUCUGGGUGGCGAGUGGCGGACGGGUGAGGAAUACAUCGGAAUCUACUUUUUCGUGGGGGAUAACGUAGGGAAACUUACGCUAAUACCGCAUACGACCUACGGGUGAAAGCAGGGAUCUUCGGACCUUGCGCGAAUGAAUGCGUCGGUGUCGGGUUAGCGAGUUGGCGGGGUAAAGGCCCACCAAGGCGACGAUCCGUAGCUGGUCUGAGAGGAUGAUCAGCCACACUGGAACUGAGACACGGUCCAGACUCCUACGGGAGGCAGCAGUGGGGAAUAUUGGACAAUGGGCGCAAGCCUGAUCCAGCCAUACCGCGUGGGUGAAGAAGGCCUUCGGGUUGUAAAGCCCUUUUGUUGGGAAAGAAAUCCAGCUGGCUAAUACCCGGUUGGGAUGACGGUACCCAAAGAAUAAGCACCGGCUAACUUCGUGCCAGCCGCCGCAGUAA